rnacentral:rRNA from 1 species
CAGUCGCCGCGGUAAUACGGAGGGAGCUAGCGUUGUUCGGAAUUACUGGGCGUAAAGCGCGCGUAGGCGGUUACUCAAGUCAGAGGUGAAAGCCCGGGGCUCAACCCCGGAACUGCCUUUGAAACUAGGUGACUAGAAUCUUGGAGAGGUCAGUGGAAUUCCGAGUGUAGAGGUGAAAUUCGUAGAUAUUCGGAAGAACAUCAGUGGCGAAGGCGACUGACUGGACAAGUAUUGACGCUGAGGUGCGAAAGCGUGGGGAGCAAACAGGAUUAGAUACCCGUGUAGUCCCUGUCUCUUAUAC